CCACCAACUACGCCUUCCUCAUGGUCGGCCGCUUCGUUGCCGGCAUUGGCGUUGGGUACGCCCUCAUGAUAGCCCCGACCUACACCGCCGAGGUCGCCCCGGCCUCCUCCCGGGGCUUCCUCACCUCCUUCCCCGAGGUCUUCAUCAACUCCGGCAUCCUCCUCGGCUACGUCUCCAACUACGCCUUCUCGCACCUCCGCGAGUCCCUUGGCUGGCGGCUCAUGCUCGGCGUCGGCGCCAUUCCUUCCGUCUUCCUCGGCCUCGGCGUGCUCGCCAUGCCCGAGUCCCCUCGGUGGCUCAUCAUGCAAGGCCGGCUCGCCGAGGCCAGGAAGGUCCUGGAGAAGACGUCCGACACGCCGGAGGAGGCGAAGCUCCGUCUGUCGGACAUCAAGAUCGCCGCCGGCAUCCCCGAGGACUGCGACGACGACGUCGUGCCCAUGCCCAAGAAAACCCGCAGCAGGGG
rnacentral:lncRNA from 1 species